ensembl:lncRNA
UGUAAUCACACAGAAACAUGGGUUUCAAUGCCAGCGGACAUAUAUUUAAAGCUUGCAUUGGAAAUUUAUUUCUGCACUUCACCUGGGAAACAAAAAAAGCCAUAAAGAGAAAUAAAGACCUUUAUAACAUUUGAUGAAGAUUCACAGAAGCCACAAAGGAACAAGUACUGCACAAAAGAUGACCAGGAAGGACUUCAAAGGCCUUCUAUGAAGAUGACUAUCUGAAAUGCAUCCAUCUAGACUUGGCUUCUUUCUAUUCAUUAUGCCUUCUGCUAGGCAGCUUCACCCCACCAGGCUGUGCUGUGCUGCCCCACCAGGCUUCAGGUGUUGGGUGGAGAUAUUCGUUCAUUAGGGAACAAAAGCAUGGGAAAAGAUUACCUCUGGAUUUCAUUUGAUGUUAUGUGGAGAUUUUUGGCUUCUUCCUCUCCCCGGAGGCACAGACCCAGGGAAAACAAUGUCCAGGAAAGGAAAACAAGGAAGAAAGCACAGAGAAUUACUUAGCUAAUGAAGAGGAAUGGCUGACUUGUCCUGCAAGAGGGCAGUUAGCAGGGACACAUCCCCUCUGGGCUCACCCAGUGAAGAACAGACACCAACACAGACCACUAAAAGGUGAGCAUCAGUGGAGUGACGCUGCAGUUUCUCCAGCUGUGUUUUGUGAGCAUAAUCGAGAUUUCUGUAGUGCCAGUGCUCACAAAACAUCAAAUGGCUCUGACUAUCCAUCUGGAACCGAAACCAUUACAUCCUCCCUGUAUGGCUCUUAGGGGCAGCACAGAACUCAGGACGCAGAUUUGUAUGAUAUAGCGAGGAGAACCAAUCAGAAAAAUGAUGUUAGUGCUGCAUCCUGUCUGAUAAAAGAGCCCAGCAAACAUCCAAAGCACCAUGAUGGUACCGCUGUCUGUCCUCCCUCCCUCCCCACUUCCCUGUCCAUCCUUUCCUAUCCUGACAUUUUGAGACAAGGCACUGAAUGAUCCCUUUUCAAAUGUUACUUUUUCUCCCUGAAUUAUUAUGUUUUUACAGUACGGCAAUUUUAUAAUUAAGAUUAAAUACUUUGUGUAAUUGUUUUGGCUUUUUUUUCCCCCUCUCAAACAAAAUGGAACCAAGGUUCAAAUCCAGAAAUGCUGUGAAAGGGGAUUUCUAUUCUCCGUGUAGAUGAAUGUAACUAUGAUCAGAGGAAAUAAAACUUAGAGCAAAAAUGCUCUGGAUAUAUAGAUUUUUCACCAUAAAUCAUUUGCAUAAAUAAAGGUAAGUUGAUUGUAAUCACUUGAGUAUUUCCUGUAGCUGAAGUUUUACUCUAUUUAUCUUUAUUUCUGCUGUAGUUUCAUCAGCACAAAAAAAUCAAGGAAGCAGUAAUAAAGAAAAAAACAGCACAAAAAAUACCCACAAAAAAAAAAAGAGCAACAGUAGAUCCAGCCGCUUAGCAGUGGGUGCUUUAUUUUCUCCAUAAUAUUUUCAGAGUGUUUGGGGGAGUAAUUUCAAACAGUCAAGUCAGAGUCCAUUGAGAAUUGAUUUUUGUGACCUCACAUAGUGUAACAGAAAAUUAUAACAGGAAAUAAACCAUUAAGUGAUAAACAAGGAAACAUGGAUACAAUUACUUUCAGAACAUAAUUUUAUUCACUCUAGUUUUGAAAAUGAAGAGAUAGUACUGACUGGAACACCUCAAUUCUGAAUGCAAACUGUACAAUCUAUUAUAUUAAACAAAGUCAAAAGCAAUGUGAAAGAUCUUGAAUCUAUUCAAGGCAUGCACCUCAUUACAGACUUAGCAAAUUAAAACACAAAUAGGAUUAGAAAAGAAUAAUGUAACAAUCUCCCACCAUGGUCCCUGGAGCAUUAAGUCAUAAAUUGGGUUUGCAUUAAAUUGUGCCUGCAGUAUUGAAUUCAGGGAAAGAGCUAUAGGCUGAAGAUAAACCUCGCUAGGCUGGCCAACUUUGGUAUGGCUGUGUGAUUUCAUAAAAACACAAUGAAUCUGUUGGAAUCUAAAAAGGCACAUUCAACAACAUGUAUUUCAUAUCUUAAUUAGAAAACGCAGAUAUGGGGUAGCAAUCUCUGGCUGCAAGAGGUAUAAACCCAGCCAAAAGCUGCAGACAUUUGAAACUGUCACUUCACCUGGAGGUGUUGUUUAAAUAAGGUAAUUCAGCACUUCGUGGCAUCACCUGCUGUGUUAAACUACACAAGUUUCCUGCUUUGCACAAAGCUCUAGUGUGCCCUGAGCUUCUUUUAGCUGGAAGAAACAAUCUUACCCCAAAAGAGCUGAGAGAAGCUGAGUUUCUGAUACAAAUGCAUUCUGUUGUUAUGGGAACUAAAAUGGUGAGCGAUGUGAAAAGGAUCCUUCGCUAACAAAGACCGGCUUGAUGAUAUUAUGGCAGCAGCUAUGCAAAAAGCAAAUAUAUCUGCAAGAAACAAACAGAGCUUCUCCAAAGAAGACGCAGGUUCCUG